rnacentral:misc_RNA from 1 species
GAUUUCCGGUGUGGGAGCAGCCGCCGGAGGCGGUGCGGCGGGGGAAGUGGGAGACGAGGAGGCUUGAGAUCUGGCGUUGGGGAUCUCGUCCUCGGUCUCGGCGAGGAGGGCGAUGGCGGAGCCGACGGGGGCGAGGCCACCCUCCUCCACCAUGAUAGCGGCGAGGUAGCCAUCGUAGAAGGUUUCGACGUCCAUGUCAGCUUUGUCGGACUCGACGACGACGACGCUCUCGCCCUUGGAGAGCUUGUCGCCCUCGGAUUUGAUCCAGGAGACGAUCUUGCCUUCGGUCAUUGUGGAGCUGAGGGCGGGCAUGAAG